AAGGGGAGAGAAGGGGGAGGCGUGGGUGCCUUCCCUCAGGAGCCCGCUGGUCAGAGGACUGUGUCUUGGCAUCCGCAGUCACGUACAAAUCUGGAUUUGAUAUAGUCUCCGCAGACUCUGAACGUGCCAGGCAGGGAGGCUUGCCCUUCACAGUACGGGUGCGCUUUCAGCCGCGGUGAUCGGGCUGCGCCUAUUCUGAUCUGCUCGAAACAGCCUUUUCAGCGCUAACCGAAACCAGAAUGAGGGUGGGAAGGCUCAUUGCAAAGUUCACAUCUCCUCCGCUGCGUGCCGGUGCUAAUGGGAGUUUCUCCUGUGACGGAUUUGGAUUUGGCUUGCUUGAUGCUGGACAAUUAAUGAAGGAAGCCCUAACUGGACAAAUGUUGGUCUCCUGAGACAAUGUGUUGUUGAUAACAGAGAAAGAUUGACAAUAAGAUGUGGAUGUUCAUCUUUAAUGAACUCUAGCUACCAAAGUGGAAACCAGCUAACUUUGAUGGUGUGGCUGACCACCUUCUCAGUGAUAGCUGAGUAUUUACUCUUUCCUGAAAUGGUAAAGUAAUGCUAUAUCCAUAGAUAAGAUG